CCUACGGGUGACAGCAGUGAGGAAUAUUGGUCAAUGGGCGAGAGCCUGAACCAGCCAAGUCGCGUGAGGGAAGACGGUCCUAUGGAUUGUAAACCUCUUUUGCCGGGGAGCAAAACGCGGUACGUGUACCGCAUCGAGAGUACCCGGAGAAAAAGCAUCGGCUAACUCCGUGCCAGCAGCCGCGGUAAUACGGAGGAUGCGAGCGUUAUCCGGAUUUAUUGGGUUUAAAGGGUGCGCAGGCGGCGAGUUAAGUCAGCGGUAAAAUUUCGGGGCUCAACCCCGACAAGCCGUUGAAACUGGCUUGCUAGAGUGGGCGAGAAGUAUGCGGAAUGCGUGGUGUAGCGGUGAAAUGCUUAGAUAUCACGAAGAACUCCGAUUGCGAAGGCAGCCUACUAAACUGCCACUGACAUUGAUGCUCUAAAGUGUGGGUAUCAAACAGGAUUAGAUACCCUAGUAGUC
rnacentral:rRNA from 1 species